rnacentral:lncRNA from 1 species
GCCAUGAGGUAUCAGGCUGGGAGCGGCUGCCCCUGCCAGUGUCAGCAGAAGUUAGCAACCUGCUCCAUGCUCCGAGCCAGGUGAUGGGCCCAGAAGGAGGAAAAACAGCAGGUCCACAGCGGCGGCCUGGAGACCAGAACAGUCUGCCCCUGUCUCCAAACCAGGACAGCCACGGGUUUGAGAUCCUGGGGGGAAAAAACAUGGCAGGCCCAUCCAAGCUCACCCAACCUCCUCAACCCCCAUGGAGAGCUGGGGUUCAACAUCGAUCUUAUAGUCACUCUGGACUUAGUCAGUAUGGGACCCAGUCCCUUGCAGAAGCCCAUGGAUUUGGAAAUGGCAGACCCAACCCUUUUCAUUCCCUGCUCCUACCAGCAUAUUUUCAGAAACCCCAUGCCUGGAAUAAGAAUCAUGGGGUGCCACUGCACCCCAAGCUCAUGCCUGCCUUCUCCAGCUCAGAGCUCUGACGCAGUUGCACACGCUUAGGCGCAGGGCCAUGCACACCACGUGGCCUGAGUUUGGAGCAGAGAGGUGCUGGGGCUACCACUCCAGCCCUGCCCUGUACUGGAGUUUCCACCCGCACAGACCUCAGUGAGGACCCCACCCACGUAUGGUCAUGGGGCAAAUCCUACUGAUGCACUGCCAAGUUAAUGUGGUGACCCUGAGCAAGUCCCUGGCACUGCCAAGUUAAUGUGGUGACCCUGAGCAAGUCCCUGACUCUCUCAAUUUCGGUUCUCAUGUCCAUACCAUACAAUUUGGGCUUUUUUUUUUUCUUUUUUCGUCUUGAGACAGGAUCUCACUAUGUUGCCCAGUCUGGUCUUGAACUCCUGGGCUCAAGCAAGCCUCUC